CAGUUUUUUAAUCCUGAAUGGCGAAGUUAAACGUUUGUUCUUCAUUUGAUUGCACAAAAACGCAGCAAUGGCGUAAGACGUACUGGGAAAUCAAAUAAUUAGCGGGCUACGGGUAGCAGAUUACUGGAAUCGGAUCAAAUCAGCUUCAUUUAUAUUUGCAGAUUAUUCCUAGAAAAGGGUACUGUUUUCUAAGUGAAAAUUCAGACCUGCCGAAAAUAUGCGUCUCUAUACAAACGACAACCGGGAGGUUGGCGGAUUUGUAAAAGACACGAGACCAUCGGUUACCAGUCGCUCAUCUAUAUUUGCCCGUAGCUCUAUAACUAA
rfam:Photorhabdus luminescens subsp. laumondii TTO1 complete genome